UAUUGCAUGGCCUCCUCUUUGACGUUUCUUUGAGGAGUUUAUACUGAAAAAAUUUUGAUGUUAAUUCUUUUUCAGAAACAGGUAUAAAUGUGAUGGAUAAAAGGAAAAAUAAAAACAGAUUCAGUUGAAAGUUUACCUAUGAAAAUAACAGGAAAUAAUCUUCCUUUCAGAGGAGAAAGUAGAAAAAUAAUUGUUGGGCUGCAGAAAGAGGCAGCUUACCACAAGAAAACACUGUGGACAAAUACCAGAGUCACCUUCAGAAGAUUGUAAAUGGAAAAGAGCAGAAGGCUGUCUGGCUAAGGAGCCAGGGAUGGAGUCACCCCGUGGAGAUGAGUCUCCUAUUGCUUUGUUUAUUUUUUCCUUGCCUCUGGUAUAUAUCUGACUGGGAAGUAGGAAAGACCACAACCCCAUAAAUAAAUAUCCAUAGUUUUAAUCAGUAAAGACUCCCUGCAAAGCCUCCUCUCUGUUUAUUCACAAAACUGGCCAAAGGUGGCCCAGCAGAACAAAAACCUUUUAACCAUACCGACCUGUUGCCUAGACCAAUACCAGGGAAGAAAUUGUGCCCUUUCCCCAUCCCAUGGGAUGAAUUCUUUAGAAAUUAUCUAAAAGCACCCAGAUUGUGAGCUGGGGAGCCAAUGUCUCUCUGAGGGUUGGGGGAGUUCUCUGGACACUGAAUAUAAUCUUUGCUGUGAAACCCGGGUUCUGCUUUCCUUUUUGAGAUUCCAUUAAAAGUUCUGUGGUAGGAUCCACUCAGCCCAGCCAUGAUCAUGCUCUUGCCCCCCACCCCCCCCCCCCCCGCCAUGAUCAAACUCUUCUGUGGGCUGUCAUAUUAGAUGAAUAUAAGACUUUUCUCUUGAGGGUUUUCACCUUGACAUUUUCUAGAAAAACCUAGUCACCUCUUCACCUCAUUUAUCUACAAAUUAAAGGCUAUCAUGGAGAGUUUUCAGAUUAACUGAUUCACUUUCUUUGCCCUUACUGCUUUUGUGACGGAGGUGACUUAGGUGACAGGAAAAGCCUGUGAUGAACUGUAAUCAGGAAUCAUGUUUUACUAAGUUAUAUACAGAACUGCACAAAAUAAUGCUAAAGCACGAGCAGUUGGAAAUGUUAAAACCUGACUUUUCUCUUUCUUUGGGUAAUUUGAUGACCUUGAGUAAAUCAUUUAAACUCUCUCUACCUUUGUCUGCAAAUACCUACAGUAUACUUUUUAAAGUCCCAGAAAUGCUAUGAAUAUAUAAUUGUUUCAAGAGUGAAAAACUAUUCUAUUUCAAAAAGAAUGACAGUGUAUAAAUUCAAUAAGAAUGUAUGAUUUCGUGCAGUAACGAGUGAUGAAUAAAAAGAUUCUCUCUCUUUGCCUUUUUCCGGCUGCACACUGGUACUCUGAAAUGUACUUGUUAUGCCUCGUCCUUCUUCACACGGAGCUGGUUAGGCACAGACUCAAUGAAUAGUUUCACCUUUAAUGUUCUUUAAGUUCCAUUCAAGCCACCAUUUCACUGUAUGCACUUUGCUUCAAAUAAUAAGUUCGUUUACACGUAUUCAAUUCUAAAUACAAUAUAGUGCUGGUAUUGAAUAAUACCUAAUCAGUAGCAAAAAUAUGUGACAAAGCCUUGUCCAGUUA